GAAGCCGAGAAGCAUGGGAAACGUUGUGUCAACAGAUCGCACGGCAACAGAAGAUGUUUUCCAAAACGUUUCAACCACAGAAUCGCUUUAAAAGGAAAUUAAUUGAAAACAUUUUGAGGCUGGAAAUAAAACCUUUUAGGAAUGUAAGUGGGGAAAG